rnacentral:sRNA from 1 species
UGUUUGACCCGGAAGUGGCUGUCUUCAGCUGACAGCUGCUGUUAAGGUGGCGGCGGCGAAGGCAGCGGCAGGUCGGGAGCAAGAUGGCGCUGCGGCCAGGAGCUGGUUCUGGUGGCGGCGGGGCCGCGGGAGCUGGCGCGGGGUCCGCCGGGGGAGGCGGCUUCAUGUUUCCUGUUGCAGGUGGGAUAAGACCCCCUCAAGCAGGCCUGAUGCCGAUGCAGCAACAAGGAUUUCCUAUGGUCUCUGUCAUGCAGCCUAAUAUGCAAGGCAUUAUGGGAAUGAAUUACAGCUCUCAGAUGUCCCAAGGACCUAUUGCUAUGCAGGCAGGAAUACCAAUGGGACCAAUGCCAGCAGCGGGAAUGCCUUACCUAGGACAAGCACCCUUCCUGGGCAUGCGUCCUCCAGGCCCACAAUACACUCCAGACAUGCAGAAGCAGUUUGCCGAAGAGCAGCAGAAACGAUUUGAACAGCAGCAAAAACUCUUAGAAGAAGAAAGAAAAAGACGCCAGUUUGAAGAGCAGAAGCAAAAGCUCAGACUUUUGAGCAGUGUGAAACCCAAGACAGGAGAGAAGAGUAGAGAUGAUGCUUUGGAAGCCAUAAAAGGAAAUUUAGAUGGGUUUUCCAGAGAUGCAAAAAUGCACCCUACUCCAGCAUCGCACCCCAAGAAACCAGAUUGCCCCACAUCAUCUCAUUCUACUAAAACUGUCUCCCCAUCACCUGCCUUUCUUGAUGAAGAAGAAUUCAGUGACUUUAUGCAGGGGCCUGUUGAAGUUCCCCCAUGUGGGCCUUCUUCCACGUCCCAGCCCUUUCAGUCUUUCCACCCCUCCACCCCACUUGGCCAGUUGCAUACACAGAAGGCUGGGACACAGCCUCUCCCUCCAAGUCAGAGUCCAGUGCCUUUUGCCUUACAUGGCGUCCCUGGGCAAAUUCCUUACUUCUCUACUGCUUCAGCCUCACACAGUGUACCAGAAGCAGGCCCUUCCUUGGAGGAGAAGUUCCUAGUAUCUUGUGAUAUAAGUACAUCUGGGCAGGAACAAAUUAAAUUAAAUACUUCUGAAGUUGGCCACAAAGCCCUAGGCCCAGGUUCCAGUAAGAAGUAUCCCAGUUUAAUGGCCAGUAACGGGGUUGCUGUAGAUGGAUGUGUGUGGGAGUAUUUCCCUCACAGGAUCCUGCUCAGCCCAGAAUGCCUCCUUGGAUUUACAAUGAGAGUUUGGUUCCAGAUGCCUAUAAGAAAAUCUUAGAAACCACAAUGACUCCAACUGGAAUAGAUACUGCCAAACUGUAUCCCAUUCUGAUGUCAUCUGGGCUUCCCAGGGAAACUCUUGGACAGAUAUGGGCCUUAGCUAAUCGAACUACACCUGGCAAACUUACAAAA